rnacentral:ncRNA from 1 species
UAAAAGUUUGAUUUUAGCUUAAAAUUUAUUUAAUUUUAAAAUUACAUGAAAAUUUUAGUAGGAAAAAAUAAUUAUUUUAAAAAUAAAAAUUUUUAAUCUCAGUAUAAAAAAUUAAUUAUGAAAGAAAUUUUGAGUUAGUUAAAAAUUUUAUUAUAGGAUAAAUUUGUGCCAGCAUCUGCGGUUAUACAAAUUAUAUAAAUAAAUUAUAUUGGUAAAUAAUUAAAUUAUUAUUAAAUUAUAAAUUAAAUUUUUAUUUUAAAAGUAAAAUUUUUAAUAUAAAAUAUAUUUAUUUUAAUAUUAUUGAAAUUAUAAAAAUUUUAAAUUAAACUAGGAUUAGAUACCCUAUUAUUAAAAUUAUAAAUAAAUUAUAUUAAGGUAGUAAUAGUUAUAAUCUUGAAACUUAAAAAAUUUGGCGGUAUUUUAGUCUAUUUAGAGGAACCUGUUCUUUAAUCGAUAGUCCACGAUAAAUUUUACUAAUUUUAUUUAUUUGUAUAUCGUCGUUAUCAGAAUAUUUUAUAAGAAUUAUAAUAUUCAUAAAUUUAAAUUAAAAUUUAUUUCAGAUCAAGGUGCAGUUUAUGAAUUAGUAGAAAUGGGUUACAAUAAAUUUAUUUAUACGAAAAGGAUUUUGAAAAAUUUUCUUGAAGGUGGAUUUAAUAGUAAAUUUAUUUAUGUUAAUAAAUUGAUUAUAGCUCUAAAAUAUGUACACAUCGCCCGUCGCUCUUUUUAUUAAAAAAAGAUAAGUCGUAACAUAGUAGAUGUACUGGAAAGUGUAUCUAGAAAGAU